GAAGCGGGAGGGAUCCGAACUCUCCGAUGCAAAUAAAAGCCGGCCGCUCUUGACCAAACUCAGCCACACUGAGAAUCCUGCUGGACGAAAAUCAACCCUGUGGAAAGAUGAAACCGACAGCAGUGCUUGUUGUUGUGCUUCUUCUGGUGCUAUCCCUUCACUGUGAGAAAAGCCUGGUUCAUGGAUUGUGCUGCAGAGGUGGACGUGGAGUUUGUAAAACAAGGUAUCAGUGCCAGAGAAUAGGGGGAACAUAUGCUUUCAGCACCGAAUGUGGCAGGAAUGCUGGAUGCUGCACAUAGCAGCUCACGCCACGAGAAGACUGAUGGCGCCACUUUCUCACUGAUGCUUCAUGGAGAAUUUCUUCUAAUGAAUUAGAAUUAAGAAUUAUUUCUGCUUUUACAUACAUG